UACAGAGGUGCCAAGCGUUAGGCGGAAUCACUGGGCUUAAAGCGCGCGUAGGCGGAUGUUUAAGUGUCUUGUGAAAGCCCCGGGCUUAACCUGGGAAUGGCAUUGGAAACUGGCUCGCUGGAGUGUGGCAGAGGGGGGUGGAAUUCCGCGUGUAGCAGUGAAAUGCGUAGAGAUGCGGAGGAACACCGAUGGCGAAGGCAGCCCCCUGGGCUAACACUGACGCUCAGGCACGAAAGCGUGGGGAGCAAACAGG
rnacentral:rRNA from 1 species